GCAACAGACCAGCGAGGAUGAGAAAUGGUGCGUGGCAGUGGUGAGUGGUGACCCUGGCCAGUCUUUGCUGGGGUGGUGCGUGAGGCGGAGUGAUGCAGGGCGCGCUGGUGCCUGUGAAGGACUUUUGGCACAGAAAUUUCGUAUCGUCAGCAUUGAGACUUGUAUCAACACGCUCCAGAUGUCUUUUAGGGAGAGGAGGAGGAGGAAGAGAAAGACAAAGGAACACAAAGAAGAACUAACGACAGCAGACCAGAAAUAUCUAACACACACUAAGAGAGAGGAACACAAAGGAUGAACAAACAGCAACAGACCUGCUGGCCACAACGAGGAUAUUUGUGGCCUACUACACUGUCGGAUAUAAAGUUCGAGAGCAGCUGCUGGACAUGACGGAGCAGAAAUGCCACGUGUACCUCGGUGGGAUCCAGACCAUGCACUACAGAACAUUCGAAGACAAGAUAGGACUUCCAGGAAUGCUGGGCACUGUAGUAGGGGAUGUGAAACCCUUCUGUGGGAGCCGGAAGAUAGGACUUCCAGGAAUGCUGGGCACUGUAGUAGGGGAUAUGAAACCCUUCUGUGGGAGGCAGGAGGGAUGUGUGACAGUGUUUGGGAGGCAGGAGGGAUGUGUGACAGCAUCUGGAAUGUGCAGGCUGGGUGUUGAAAGCUAUGGGUUAGAGAGUUUGACCUCCACUGAAGUGUAAGGGUGUUGGAACUUGUUAGGGAAAGGAUGAGAAGAGAAUAAGAGAAUAAGAGCAGGCAAGGAUGGAGUGAUGGAGUCUGUGACGGAAGGGAUAAGAGGUGAAUGAGAGAAUUUGAACAAGUAAGGAUGGAAACAAAUAAAGGAUGGAGUGAUGGAGUGUGUGAGGGAGAGGAUAGGAAGGGAAUAAGAAGACUUAAACAUGCAAGGAUGGAAAUAAAUGAAGGAUGGAGUAUGUGAAGGAGACAAGAUGAGAGAAAGAAAAUUAGAACAUUCAAGGUGGAAACAGAUAGAGGAUGGAGUGAUGGAGUGUGUGAUGAAGAGGAAGAGGACAAGGGAAGAAUCAGAGGGUUGGAGCAUGGAUGGAGGAAAUACAAGGACAGGAAUAAACAGAUGGAUAAAUGAAUAGAGAAAGUAAAGGAGGCUUGGAAAAUAUUAAACUGUUGAGGAAAUGUAGGAGAGCUGGAAAGUACUUGAUAGAAUAAUGACAUUACAAAAAGUAAUUAGUGACGUGACAGAUCUGGUGAUAUAAAAGAAGUUGAAAAUGAAUGAAAAUAUUGAUGAUGCUAUUGUUAAUGAUGUGUUGAUUGUAAUGCAGCACAAUCUGCCACCAGGAAAGCCUUUAGGUUGUUGAGAAAUGAGCCAAGAAUCUUCAAGGAGAC